GGCCUCGUAGCUCAGCUGGCACAAUGUGCGCUGUACAAAAGCGUACUCGUCCAUGCGUGGGUUCGAAUCCCACCGAUGCUA
rnacentral:tRNA from 1 species